rnacentral:rRNA from 1 species
AACGAACGCUGGCGGCGUGGAUAAGACAUGCAAGUCGAACGGGAUUUAGUUUUUGUAGCAAUACAGAAAUAAUUCAGUGGCGAACGGUGCGUAACACGUGGGCAAUCUGACCGAAAAGUGGGGAUAGCUCGCCGAAAGGCGAAUUAAUACCGCAUGUGGUGAGGGACGUACAUCUUCCUGAAUCCAAAGCCGGGCAACCUGGCGUCUUUUUGAGGAGCCCGCGGCCUAUCAGCUUGGUUGGCGGGGUAAC